rnacentral:rRNA from 1 species
AGCACCACAACAGGUGGAGCCUGCGGUUUAAUCGGACUCAACGCCGGGAAACUCACCAGAUAAGACAGCUGAAUGAUAGUCGGGCUGAAGACUCUACUUGACUAGCUGAGAGGAGGUGCAUGGCCGUCGUCAGUUCGUACUGUGAAGCAUCCUGUUAAGUCAGGCAACGAGCGAGACCCACGCCAACAGUUGCCAGCUCGUCCUCCGGGAUGGUGGGGACACUGUUGGGACCGCCUCUGCUAAAGAGGAGGAAGGAAUGGGCAACGGUAGGUCAGCAUGCCCCGAAUUAUCUGGGCUACACGCGGGCUACAAUGGGUGGGACAAUGGGUAUCGACACCGAAAGGUGAAGGCAAUCUCCUAAACCCAUCCGUAGUUCGGAUUGUGGGCUGCAACUCGCCCACAUGAAGCUGGAAUCCGUAGUAAUCGCGUUUCAACAGAACGCGGUGAAUACGUCCCUGCUCCUU